AUUUUUUUUUUUAAAAAUGUCCAAUAUUCCGGUCUAAUAAACAUGUCCAGAAGGACUCACUUUAGAUUGUUUGUGUCAGUGUUGGACUGUUGUUUGAGCUUUGUAAUUCAUGACUAUACUAUUAAUUAUCUACUAACAAGGUUAUCAUGUCUACUGAAACAAGCUCUUAUUUGGAUAAAAAGUAUCUCAAAGCUAGCUGUAUCUAAGACAUUCUAAAAGCCAAGUUUAAACCAAGCACUUUCAGGAAAAACAUCCUGAGAAUAUUUCUAAUACAGCUAUAACAUAAAUGUUUAAUGAGAAGAAUUGAAUGUUUACAAAUUGCUACAAACAAGAAGAUGAACAAAAACUCGAUUGAUCAGCCAUACAAUAACAAUUUAGUAUCAUGAGCUCAAAUGUUGUACUUCUUCUUGUAGGUCAUAUAUGUUCCAUAGGAGACUCUGACUGCGCCAUUGACAGAAAGUAUUGUAUUGUAUUGUACUGCAAAUGAUUGGCUUUCUUUAUUUCAAGGUUCAGAAUCUUUGUAGAGCUUAUUUUAUCAACACUUAAUGUAGCCUCUGUGUUGACUUCUAAAAGCUUUUAGGAUUGCUCCUAAAGUUUUUCUUAGUUGUGGGGAUGCUUUUUUUAAGGAUUACCGACGAGCUUCCCUUUUUCAAUUUCCUGUGCAACCUGCAAUAUAUGUCCAUUUGGGAAUGAAUAUUUCAGUACCACACUCGAGGAGGAAAUAGAUUCUUCAACUCACACAAUCAAGAACCCACGUAAAUUUUAAUGUCUUCUUGCCUUGUUUUAGGGAAUUGGCUAAGAUUAUCUGGCCCCUCUUUACAAGCUGCCCCCACUCUGUUGUUUGGAUCAAGUCCCUGCAUAAAGUAGGACAAACCAUGACGUAUCUUGAAAACAGUAAGGCAAUAUGGGGUAGAUCAUGAAAAAGAAAAACAUAAAGAAUAUGAUACUUCCUACAUCCCAAAAUUAGAUAUAUAUUUUUUUUUAGUCCGUUCCAAAAUUAUUGAUACAUUUCUAUUUUAGAACUAUAAAGUGAUAUGAUAUUUCUAAUUUGCCAUUAUAUUUUUACCAUCAUUUUUAAUACUAAACAACCAUAGUUGAAUUCUUAACUAAUAUUAUUAAGGCUAUAUUUGAGAACAUAAAAUUGUCCUUAAAAGUCGUCGUUUUACAAAUGUAUCACUAAUUUUAGAAUAGAAGGAGUAUAAUUUAAUACAUAUCAAUCCUUGUCACAUUUGAACGUCAGAUUAAGUCCUCAAAAGGACAGUCAAACGAAAGUACAACUUCUCAGCAUCGUUGAAUAUUUAAAUUACAUUCUACAAGGAAAUCUGCAGUCAUGAGUGUGUAUGUGCUUCCGGUCCAAGUCAAUAUCAUUACAUUAUUUUGAUUUUAGUGAAAAACAAACUUGGUAGCAAUGUACUCAACUCAACAUAGGCUUCCCCUAAAACUUGGAAGAAGCUAGAUGAUCCUGCUUAAUCAUUGUUCUCUAGACAGGACAAAACAGCCUCAAUCGAGCAGGUUGAUACAUAAGGUGGUAAAAAAGUAAUCAACACCAUGGAAACUAUACAAGUUUUUCUCAUGAUCAACCCAUAUUUUUUUUUGUUUUGUUAAUUACCCAUAUUUCAGUAUAAGCUGCACGAUAAAAUAAUAAAUAGACCGACUGCAAUAUUUAUCAAGGCUCAACUUAACCCAACUCAACGCCUUCACACCAAACUAGUUGGGGAUAAGUAGGCUGUAAUGAAUCUCAUAUGUAGGAGUAAAAGUAAUAAAGGCAGGCAGAAAAUAAAUAAAUAAAAAUAAGAAAAGAACAAAUAAAAAAUAAUAAAAAUAGAUGAAAAAAUAAUUAAAACACACCCACGUGUCAUAUAAAAAUGAAACAAAGGAAAAAGUGACAAAAAAGGAGGGGGUAAAAACAGAAACAGAAAACAAACCCUAGCCUGACAUGCGGAUUGCACUCCUUGACCCACUCUUAUCAAAGGCCAUGUCCUCAAUUCUUCAUUUAUAUUCAAUUCAUCGAGUCUAUUUUUACAAAUUCCCCGAAGUAAUUUUUGACCUAUUCCUCCCUCUUUUAAUAUCUACUCCCUAAUACAAGACUCCUCAUCUCACCACUACAUCUAUAGUGAUGUUGAAUACGACCACAUACCAUCUCAAAAUCAAUGUUCACUCAUUUCCAGCCCACAUUUUCAGCAUAGCUGGCCUCACUGCCUUCUACGGAACAUUAAAAUUUAUGGAAUGCAGAUUUAGAAGCCUCCAAGUGAGGCAAACUAUCAGCGCAAUGUCAUGCAAUAGACCAAGUAAGUAUACAGAUGGACAGUACAUAUCACUAAGAUUGAAUUGGGCCCUGUUAAAGAUUAAGGCAGUUUUUUUAAGUCAGGAUAAUACCAAUAGAUUAGACUGAUCUUAACAAUGAAAAUCAAGAUUUAGCAAGUGCAUGAUAAUAAACAUAUAUUACACGUAACAGAUAUAGUCGCACAUCACUUCUGAGGCAUAUUAUAGUUAACACAGUCAAAAGUAUUCCAUAACUCCAAUCAAGUUGCAAAGGGAUAACUAUAGUUUAGAAAGUGCACCAAAAUAAGGAAUUAGAGGCCAUCAUUAUUUCAUGAAACAGUUAUGAUAACAGAUAGAUGAUCAGUUUGCAAAAACACAUAAUAUACAAAUAGAUUAUUCUUCCAUACUUCCAAAUAUUGUACCCAUAGCAUUUACCUAGUCUAGCAUGUAAGCUAGACAAGCCUAGACUGGUAGAGACUUCAAUAUCUCACGACAGAGCUAGAGGUCAUAAUGUAUCAGUACAAAAUUAUCAGCCAGUGUAAACUGUAAUCAUUCUGGAACACCUUACCUUAGCAAGCAUACAAGCAGAAUACAAGAAGCAAGUCAUAAAGCGUUCGAUGAAGGCACCAAUAUACCUUUGAAAUGUACAAAUUUAACAACCAAACUCAUACAUACAAUGGUAUAUGCCAAUACUAAACCACCAAGCAGAAACUACGAUAGCAAAGUAGAAUUUAAAGUAUAAACAAUCACCAUUAAUCCUUGACAGUAAUACAUCAAAUGUACCAAGUUAUCCUUCAAUGUAAGCCAUCUUUAAGAUCAGAACGGUAACUCAAUAACAAAUUUUAAUUCAUUUAGAUGUAGGAUUGCACGUAGUCUGCAUUCAUUGCAGUUCUCAUUGAUUAUAUCAAAUAUGCAGUGGUAAUAGAAAGCUAUUGUCCAAUCACAUAACAUAAUAUCUCCAAACUGUAGCAUAAUUUUUUGUCAAUAAAAAGACGGUCUUUCAAACAUGCAAUACUAGAACAACAGAAGGGAAGAACUACAGCUCAUCAUAUAUAUCCAAUGACAUUAUCAUUGAAACUAAACUACCAGAUUCCAUAUAAAGCAAACAAUGUAAAGAUAAAUAUUAGCAGUAUACAAUUCCUAACUAAGACCGUAAGACAUACUUUAUAUUAUAAAAUUUAGGAGUAACAUGUGUCAAAGAUUAGCAACUUACUUCAUUUGGUAGCACAUUUAAUGAACUACACUGCCCUGAAGAAAGCUUUGGCUUUUUCACAAUACUAAAAGUAUCCACACCCAACAAAGUACUUGCCUUCCUCUUCAUUCUACCUAUAUUGAUUAUUCCUUUGCUCUUCUUAUCUCGAACUUUCCACACAUUCUUCCUCCUGAAUAACAUCUUCUCAAAUUUCCACGACCCACAGCUCGUGUCAAUUACAGUAACUUCAGUCCGCGAAAAUGCAGAAAGAUCUGCACGACAUGUGUCCUCCUCGUCUUCACCAUCCAAUACACCUCCAUUAACUACUUCUACUUGCUCGUUAUUUCCCCUGAUACUGUUAUUGUGGCUCGACGGCGACCGAGCAUUUUCCGUCUGAAAGUUUCCGUUUGAAAGAAGACAAAUUUUAGGGUUUGGCUGUUUGCGAUAACUCUUUUUUGUUGGGAAAUUAUUGUAAUCGCCCAUGAUAAAGAGUCCCGAUAGUACGUUGCUCAUGAUACCAAACCAAUUUUUGUCUCCAUUUUCGGGCCGAAUCUCCGUCAUUUGUUUCCGAUCAAGGACCGGAUUUUGAGCUGGAGUCGAAUUGGUAUUGGGGUUCGGAUCAUUGUGGGUAGAAGUGGGGUCAGCGAAUUUAGUAUCGGAGAGGUAAGGGUUAGGGUGAUUGAGGAAGUGUUCAAGAUUGAGGUCGUGGUCGGCGGGAAUGCCUUUGGAUGAUCGGAGCCGGUCGAGCCAAUUCGAACCGGACUUACCGGUUGACAUUGGACAGAGCAUGUUUGGACUUUGGAAGAGAGAGAAUGAGGAUCGUGACCGUUUGGAAGGGAAGGAUUAUAAUGUAGGGGACAUUGGUUACUUGUAUGAUAUCAUAUCACAAAAAUAUUAAUUUCCUCUAAUAUAUUUUAUAUUAUAAUUUAACUACUACUAUAAUUUACACAUAUAAAAAUAAAAAAAUAUUAAAUUUAUUUGUAAAAGUCUCACAAGAUUAUAUAAAUUAUAAAACAAUGAAUAUUUUUAAAUUUUAUAUUAAUAUACUUUAUUAAAUGAUUUAGUUAACUUUCAUUUUAUUAAAAAAUAAAUAAAAAUACUUGUAAUUUUAGUUAUUUUUUAAAAAAUCGGAAGUAAAUAUGUGCUCAGAUUACAUACGUUGUUGAUCUACUCAUCCAUGUGCGAUCUGUUUGGUUUACAGCCUUAUCUAAUGCUGGUUUAUGUUUUGAGUUUAAAACUCUGUUUGGUAGGUAGGGAAAGAAAAGGGAGACUAGUAUUUUUACAAAGUUGAAUCAAUUAAUUGGCGGCUCGAAUAGAUUUCAUUUCUGAUUCCACCUUCGUCAAGAGAAUUGAAAAAAAAAUCAUUACAUCAGAAUAGUUUAUCCGUUAAAAUGAUCUCUAAAUAUAUUAUUUUUUAUAUAAUUUUUUAUUCUUUUAAUUCAAACGUAAUAUAUAUAUCGAUUGGAAUCACUCGUAAAACUCAAGAUUAUAUAAUAAAAUAUAGUAAAUGCAUUUGUUGAGCCAAUGAAUAAAGUACUUUUUCACUUCAUAAAUUCUUGCAUAUAACUGACUUAAUUGUAAUGCAAGUAAAUAAUUAUUAUGUUUAUGAUUAGUUCUUCACCAAUGACUCAUUUGAAUUUAAACAAGUUGGACUUUGAACUUCAAAUGAAGUUCAUUUACCCCAAGUUUUAUUUAGUUCCUUACCUAGUCCCUCCCCACCAAGCCUUCAAAAUUGAAUGUAUUAAUUAUUAUUAUACAUUUUUUUCUAGGAGAAUUAUUUUUUGAAUUAAUAGCUAGCUAAAUAAUUUAAUAGGCAUUAAGGUCUAUGACAAUUUGAAUCUUUAAAAAGUAUUUUGUCAUGUAAAUUGUUGAAUAAUGUAUACAUGUUAAAAUAUAAAUCAAGACUAAUAUAGUCACAAUAUACUCUCUAUUUAUGUGUAUAUGCAGCGUUGGACGUGAUCCAUAAUCACAUGUAAAUACAGUCAUAUUUUUUGAGUUCAUUAUGAAAUUUUUGUGAACCGGAUUUAAGACAUUUUAAAUUUUAAAUUAACAUAUAUUCAAAUAUUUUAGUCAACAUAAAAAAUGAAUAUUAUAAUAUAUCACAAAAUAGUAUUGAUUAUCUUAAUUUUAAAUAAAUAUCAUAAUUGUGAGUUUAAUUAUUUUUUUUAAAAAAUCAAUAAUAAUUUUAUACUUUGUAACCAAUAAAAUAUAUAAAAUAAAUAAUACUCCAUUAUUUUAGUGUCAUCUAUAAAUUCAGUUUGGUAUAUACUUGAACCAAACCAAAGCGACAAUUUAACUAUUUAAGUUCAUAGAAAAAUUAUAUCCAAACUAAACCAAUUAAUUUAUGUAAAAAUAUUAAAAAAAAACUCAUUACUUUAACCAGUCUCCAUAUUCUUCGAAUGAAUCUCUUAGUUAUUGAGAAGGUUGUCCAAUAAAAUUUAUAAAUAAAUCAGAUAUAAAGAUGACGACUAAAGUUGUAUCCAAACUAAACUAAUUAAUUUGUGUAAAAAUAUUAAAAAAUAAAAAUAAAAGGUUGGUUUAAAAUUCAGUUUUAUGAAGAUUCGUAGCUGGCUGUUACUCGGCACCACGCACGCUAGAUAUUGAAAAGAAGCAUAUGCUAUCAAAAAAGAAAUAAUAAUAAAAAAAAACAAGCAUAUGUCAGGAAGAUCAAAAUCUGAUACGUACGUGACGAGGAACCGCGGCGACCACAAGACAAAGUACCAUAACAACCCAACAAACAAAGCUCAGCCGUAAUUUGAAUUAAGGAUUAAGACCACCGACUGACGUACGGUGAAAUUAGGAACGCUCAUGUCUCAUCAUCCUUGUUUAGGAAGCCUACUAGUAAAUUUUUAAUUGUUUUUCCCCCCUUAAAUCACCACCACAAGGACUCCUAUCUAUGGCUUUAGCCAAUAGCCAUUGGCGGUGGUGAUACUUAGCAUAAAUCAACCUUCCUCCUCCUCCUCCUCUCUCAAACAAACACAUCUUUUUCCUUUUCUUUUAUUUAUUUAUUUUAUUUUAUCUUUCUUUUCGAAAAUAUCCGCUAAGUUUUAAGAAAGGUUUCGUCUUGGGUUUUUCUUUCCCACCCAUCAAUUUCACGCUAUUCUUGAUUCUGUUACAUUUGUUUCUGGUUUGGAGGGACUCCGACCUAAUUAAUAAUUAUGGCUAUGGCUCUGGUGGAGGCUUUUUUGGAGAUAUUGGACAUACCCACAAUUGCUACAGUUAUUGCCUUUCUUCUUGGGGUUAUGGUUGGUUGGUCUUGGAAACCCAGAUGGGCUAGCUUGGGCAAUUGCAAAUUCCAGCUUUCUGCACCUUCUUCUCCUUCUGCCUUGGUUUCUCCCCCUUUGAAGAACAAGGGUUUUGGUUCUGCUCAGAGCGUUGAUUCCCUCAAAGUUGGGACCCCAAGUUUUGGCUCUUGUAUCAUGGAUAGUGGGUCGGAUAAAGACCAAAUCUUUACACAGGAAAAUCCCAAUUGCAGGUAAUUGUAAUUCUUCUUGUUUUGUGCGUUUUCAUUUGAUAAUUCUUCCCAAUUCAUACUUUGCUCAUUGUUUAUGAUGCCAUAACAUUGGUUGAGUAUGAUGUCAUGCCUAUUGAUUUUAGAAGGAAGAAAUGUGUAGCUAAAUUUAUUAGUUUGUUACAAUCUCAACCUUUCAGAGGAAAUGUUGAUGCUUUAACAUAUCUGAACAUCUAACAUGGGAUAUAAGAUUUUUUUCCCCCCACACUAGUGCAUAUUUACUCUUGGGAUAUCUUAGGCUAUUUUGUUUGCAAGGGCUACUUUUAGGGGAAUAUGGAUUAUAAUCCUAAAUAUUGUUUUAACCCUAGGUAUUGUUUUAGCCUCUUAGAUAUCAAGCUUUUUUAGUGGAACUGUGCUUUAGAAUGACAAAAUCUUGCUUUGUUUUUCCUUCAUCUAGUUCCUCACAUACUAAAAAGGAAGAGUGUCUUGUCGUGACUGAAGAAGAUUUUGAUCAUCUAUGCCAUCUUGUCGAAAGAAAAGAUGGAGGUCCCCCUUGGAGACAUAUGAUGGAUCGAUCUACCCCCAAUAUGACCUACCAAGCAUGGCAGAGGGAACCUGAGGUGCUGUUUUUUCUUCUUCAUUAAUUGUUAGGUUUUCAGGUUCAUCUUCACUGAUUUUUUAUUUUUUUGUGUACUUACCUCAUGGAUUUUUUAUGAUUUGUUCUGUCAAUUGUUUUGACCGACUUUAUCGAUGUUUUGGCAGACUGGUCCUCCUCAAUAUUGCAGCGGAACUGUGUAUGAGGAUGCCUCACCUGAAAUGUUAAGAGACUUCUUCUGGGAUGAUGAGUUCCGACUCAAGUGGGACGACAUGAUUGUACAUGCUUCAACUAUAGAAGAAUGCCCCACCACAGGAACGAUGAUAGUGCACUGGAUACGGAAGGUGAGUGAAGUUUCAUUCAACUACUGCCUACUGGUAUAACUGACAUAACUUUUACUUGCAAAAUCCUAAUUUUUUGAUUACUCUUUUGUGCAGUUUCCCUUUUUCUGUAGUGAUAGAGAGUACAUAAUUGGCCGUCGAAUAUGGGAAUCAGGAAGAACAUAUUACUGUGUGACAAAGGUAUGUCAAAGAUAUUAUUUUGGUACUAUAAGUAAGAUCAACAAUAUACUGCAUGGUUGGGAUGUUAUGUUGUUGCAUUGUUAUUGAAAUGAAGAGUUUGUCCCUCGAGAAGCCAAAGCUUGAAAAGCUCAAUAAGAAUCAUGCUCUAUAUGUUGGCAUCUGUUUCUGAAAAGAUAUUGGACUGUGUUGGGUAAUGUUAUUAGCAAUUAGUACUGGGCAGUAAAGCCGCUAGUUCUUAAUGAUAAGCCAACGGAAAAGGUAAAUUAUGUUACUUGGCCAUAAGAGCAUUUGAGCAAGUAAUAGGAGUCAAAGGCACUAUGAGGGAAGAGUAAAGCUUAAAAAAUGAUAGUAAUAAAACAGGUCCUAAAUUUUACAAAUGAAGACAUGCAUCGCGAUUUCAGAUAGUUAAAAAAAUGCAUUAUACUGGUAACGGAAUUUUGCAAUGAAAUAUCACUGCUGCUUCAGACAACACUGAUGCCAAAUGGCAUUUUUGCAUUUCUUUGGAUUUUGGUUUUUCUAUUCUUUUUUCCUGUUCUAGUUGCUAAAAUUUUGACUUCUUAUUCUAAUUGCCUUAUCUUCUCUACAAGGGAGUGCCCUGCUCUUCUAUUCCUAGGCGGCAGAAACCAAGACGUGUUGACCUUUACUAUUCAAGUUGGUCAAUUCAAGCAGGUAGUGUAACAAUGGAGGUUUUUCUUUUUUUUCUCUUCGUAAUUUAUGAAUAUAAAAUAUAACAUGUGGAUCAGCAGAGGUUAUUUCUUAAAGCAUAAGCAAGUGAUGUGUGUUGAGUGUAGGUCUCUUAAGAUUAGUUUUGGCAAUAUUUGUUUUCAUAAUAUAUUGAUCUUGUAAAUGUUUCACCAAAAGGGGCAAAAAAUAGUUUAAAAUUAUGCUGGAUGGAUAAAAAUGAUGUUCUAGUGACUGUGUUGCUGUGUCACAUGUGGUCCUACAUUUCUAACUUGAAUUUUCUCAUAAUAAUCUUGCAUCUUGUGUGCAUGAAACAGUGGAAUCAAGGAAAGGGAAUGGUCAACUGACUGCAUGUGAAGUUAUACUCUUCCAUCAUGAAGAUAUGGGCAUUCCAUGGGAGAUUGCAAAAUUUGGAGUGAGGCAGGGAAUGUGGGGAGCCGUCAAGAAGAUUGAAUGUGGUUUCCGUGCCUACCAAAAGGAAAGAGCUUCUGGGUCACCAAUAUCUCGCCCCGCAUUUAUGGCUCAGAUCAACACCAAAAUUGAUCCAAACUACCUAAAAUCCUUGGAAAGUGAUGAAGAUUUACCAGAGACUGAAGUGGUUAGCUCAUCUGAAAAGCCUGUGGGUAUGAAUAUACCAAAGCUUGUAGUCUUUGGUGGGGUGGUUGUCCUUGCUUGUAGUCUUGAUCGUGGUCUCUUGACUAAAGCGGUUAUAUUCGGUGUUGCCAGAAGGUUCACAAAUAUAGGAAGGAGAGCUUGUCCAAGAUAGUGACUUGUCGUGAAACAAAGUCAUCGUCUUGCUUACCUGCUUGGUUAUGAGCAUUAGUCGCUGACCUCUCGGAAAAUAAGUGUAUGUAUUCUUUUUGUAAGUAAUUGUUGUUAUUUGGGAGCACCUAGAAGUUAAAUUGUAUAGGAGGGAAGAAGGCUGUUCUUAGAUUUACUUGAUAAUAGAUGCAAUCUUCGGGUCCAGAGAAAAAUUAAUUUGUUGAUCUCAUGUGGCCUUCCCAAAACACUUGUGGAAAUGAUAAGUUUGUUGAAAAAGCUAUUAUAAAUAUUGUUAUGUAUAUUUCAUAAACAAUUUGCAAGUUUUACUACAUACAUAGUUUGUCAAAAUAUGGGAAACCACUUUGAUUUGAGCUGCUAUGUCACAAAAGUGAUACGAAUUCUCUUUGAUUUGAGCAUUCGUUCAUGGGGCUGAAGCUUUUAAUUCAUUUGUCCUGGGUGAUAUGUUGGUGCAAAUUCAAGGUCCAUGACCUCAUGCUGUCAUAAAGUAACAAACACAAAUCUGAACAGAACAUGGCAUAACCUUUAAAUCUUUUGUGGAAAGAAAGCUUCUCCAAGCUAUGAAGUCUUGUUUUAACUAAAACGAGGUGGGGNNNNNNNNNNNNNNNNNNNNNNNNNNNNNNNNNNNNNNNNNNNNNNNNNNNNNNNNNNNNNNNNNNNNNNNNNNNNNNNNNNNNNNNNNNNNNNNNNNNNUGUAUUAGUAAUUACCUUGGUGUCGGAAUAAUGUUGGUAUUUAUCAAAGAAAUAAAUCCCAACUGCAGCAGCUACUGCUGGUGCUGUCAUGUAAAGGGUGCCCAGAGCCAUUAAUCUCUUAGAGCAGAAGAAGCAGAGGUUUUUAUUCUUCCCUUUGUAGGCAAAGAGAAAAUGUCUUGUUUGUAGCUCUUCUAUCUGCUGAAAAUCUUCAGAGAUAUAGGAAGGAAAAGGAGAUGAUCAGUAAAGCAAAGCAAAGGAAUAUGAGAUAUCUUGGUGGUAAAGACAAGUAAAGAAUGGAGUAUAAAAAAUAAUAAGAGAAAAUGUGGAAGACCUGACCUCAUGUCAAAGGCACAAAUUAAUGGAAUUUUUGUGGGCCCUAGAAUUUUCCAUUAAAAACAUGCGACAAAAUUUGUGUGAUUCAGGAAACACAGAACCAAAUUAUUAUCUAUAUUUCCUCAAGUUGAUGGCAAAUAGGAGUGCACCUCCAUCUCCAUGAUAUUACCAUCUGUCCAAGUUGUUUAAUAUGUAUGUUUAAGAAGUUGGUUGGAAAAAAAUUAAUCUUAAGAUAUCUGAUUAAGUCAAUGCUUAAUGCAUGAUUUUUUCAUCACGGGUGAACAUAUUAUUUGCAUUCAUCAUAUAUUAGGGAAAGUCUGGUUUAUACAUUUCACCUUAGCAUGCAUGUCAAGACUCGAACCCUCAAUCUGAUCUGAUGGUUAUCAUAUGUCGAGGUCAAAUGUCUUUGGCUUUGGUUAAGAUUAACAUUUUCUAUAUAUCUAUGAUUAUUUGUUAUUAAUUUUUUCUAAAAUAAUUUAUAUAUAUAUAUAUAUAUAUAUAUAUAUAUAUAUCAAAUGAUUACUGUAUUAAUAUUUAAAAUUUGUGCAAAAUUUACUUUUAAAAGUAUUAUAAAAUACACUAAAUUACAAUCAUCAUCUCCAAAGUUUCAAGUCAUGAAACAUAAUGAUAUAAAAUAGAACAAAAUAUAUAUUUAUAGAAAAGUCAAAAUAAAACCUCAUGCCUGAAAUUCAAAAUUCUACUCAUUUUAAUUAAUUGUUACAACUUGCAUUUUUUUAUGUUCAGAUUGACUAUUUUUAAAAUCAAUAGUUUAUGUUAUUUUUGAAAAAUAUAGGCCAAAAUACACAAUGAACCUUUUGUUCGAGAGUAUAUACUGAGUUACCAACAACAAACUAUUGAUUUUUUUUUUAAGAUUCGAGUAAUCGCAUAUAAAAUUAUGGGUGUAAAAAUUGCUAAUUCUACUUGAAUGCAAUUUGAUAAUUUUAAAAUUAUACUUGACACCAUUUGUGAUUGGUGUUGGACCUGAUAAAAUCGGCCCAAGACUGCGGGUCAGUCCGGGUCACCCGUCAAAAAACAGGCUUUGAGCUUCAGCCCAUCAAAACUUGGGCCGUUUUGGCCCAGCCCAGCGAUGGCCCGGUCCGUUUGGACUAGGCCCAAAAAUAUGUCAAAUUUUGGUCUUAAAUUAGUCCAAACUCGAGGACCAGCCCGGCCCGUCCAUCAAAAAAUGGGUUUUGGACUUCACUUUUUCAGCUUACCAAAAUUUAGGCCGUUUGAUCCGGCCCGCCAAUGGCCCGACCCGUUUGCCAGGUCUAAUUGGUAUACUGAGGUUUUGAAACUUGUAUUGCAACUUUAUUUAGUUCUAAUUUGGUUUCAGUUUCGGUUUCGAUUUCAAAAUUAAAUAGUCAAAAAUAAUAUUAAAUACAUCAAAUUAUCUGUCUAAGAAAAAAAAUCCAAAUAUUACUAUGUAAUUUCAUGGAGAAUGGGACAGUAAAAACAAUUUAAAUACUAAACCAUUUUACAAAUAAUAGAAAAAAUUAAAUGGGAGAAGAAGUUUUAUGAAUAAUAAAUUGAGAUAUAAAAUUAAGAUAUCAUACUGAAACAGUAAAACAUUGAGAAAUGCCAAAUAUAUCAUUGGCAAGUGAGAAGUAAGGAGGUCAACCUAUUUUGUCGAUCCCAAAUAAUAAUUUUUUUUGAGAGGUCAAUUUUUGCCUUCUAGGCAAGAGGAUAGCAAGACCCACGUUCCCACUGAACUGAACUAAGAGGAUUUUCUUAUUAGAAAAGAUAAAAAGACUGUAAUGAAAUAUUUUUAAGUUUUAACCCCAAUACAAUUUUUUUGAAUAAAAAAUUAUAUAUGCCCAAUUUUAAUCGAUCUCAAUUAACCCCUCAUUAUUGGGAUGACACCCACCCAUCACACACAUAACCACACUAAUACAAAGAUAAAAAAUUAUGAUUCAAAAUGUACACAUCACUCACACACACACACACACACACACACACAUAUAUAUAUAUAUAUAUAUAUAUAUAUAUAAAAAUAUAAGAAAAAAUAUAUAUAUACGACUGUAUAAUACACAGAUUUAAGAAAAAAUUAAAUAGAAUGGUAUAUGGUAUUGAUUAAUACAGAGAUGUAUAUGGAAUAAAAAAUUUAAAAAAAAAAUCAAAGAGUGAUGGAUGUUUGAUCCAUAAUCAAGAAGAAAUUAUGGUCUCAAAACAGAAAACUCCAUCCAAUUCCGGUGCGAAUCUUGGAUUUCCCCUCCUCUGCUGUCGUUGAGGUUCUUGAUUUUCCGGCCGCUUUGAUUUAACAGCUGCUUGCUCCUUCUUGACAGUCGUCGGAGGAGGGGCUUGUUUAGUUUGUACCGGCAGCGGAUUACCCCAAGAAAAUCCGACUUUCUGACCAAAGGAUUCGGCAGAAAGAACAUCAAAUGAACUGAAAAUUGACAUCAUCAUCGUGUCCUGCUACCUUAAUUCUUUCUUCCUUAGCUCUUGCUAGCUACUUUUCUUUUCCUUCACUCUCUUUGCAAAAGUAAACGUUUGAUGAUAUUAUGAAAACUUUGAACUUUGCAACUGUAAUCGUAGACGGAUGGAUGGCUACAAUAUAACAGAGGAAGUGGAGUUUAUAUAGGAAAGGAAAAGGAAAAGAAUGACUCGACUUCUUUUAGUUGGAAGGAAAUUUCUGAAACUUAAUAUAUAAUUAAUAUUCUGUUGUUUGGACCGGACCAGGCAAUUAGCGUGGGAAGUUGGAAUUUUGGUCAGAUUAAGGAGAAACAUAAAGCGUGUCGGUCGGUCCACUAGAUAUAGCUGGAAUUUGUUUACCCGAACCAAACGCCACACAAGACUUUUGACUCCUACGUCUCUCCUUCCUCUCCACGCGUCCUCAAA
rnacentral:lncRNA from 1 species